rnacentral:lncRNA from 1 species
AUGCUCAAGAUGCAACAUGACCAGUUGAUGACUGACCUGAAGAGCAUGCCCCAGGACAUCAGUGAGGCCUUAUACAAGUACAAGGAGUUGACUAAAGAAAAUCAAUUCUACUGCAUCGGGCACUGCCACCUCCAGAGUGAAUCUAACCAUCUCCAGCACAAAAAACAUCUCCUUCCACACAAAGUCAGGAUGUUGUGGAAGGAGAACAGACAGUUGCUAGAGGAGCAGAUUGCAUUAGAAGAAUGCUCCAAAGAAUCAAAGAGGCUGUGUAAAGAAGGCAGC